rnacentral:rRNA from 1 species
ACGAAGGGUGCAAGCGUUAAUCGGAAUUACUGGGCGUAAAGGGUGCGUAGGCGGUUCGUUAAGUCUGUCGUGAAAUCCCCGGGCUCAACCUGGGAAUGGCGAUGGAUACUGGCGAGCUAGAGUGUGUCAGAGGAUGGCGGAAUUCCGGGUGUAGCGGUGGAAUGCGUAGAGAUCCGGAAGAACACCGGAGGCGAAGGCGGCUGGCUGGGCCUGAUCUGACGCUGAGGCGCGAAAGCCAGGGGAGCAAACGGGA